GACGAACGCUGGCGGCGUGCUUAACACAUGCAAGUCGAGCGACGCUCUUCCUUCGGGGAGAUGACGGAGCGGCGAACGGGUGAGUAACACGUGGGCAACCUGCCCCUAGCUCUGGGACAACACCGGGAAACCGGUGCUAAUACCGGAUACGACAUCGAGCGGCAUCUCUCGAUGUGGAAAGUUUUUCCGGCUAGGGAUGGGCCCGCGGCCUAUCAGCUUGUUGGUGGGGUAAUGGCCCACCAAGGCGACGACGGGUAGCCGGCCUGAGAGGGCGACCGGCCACACUGGGACUGAGACACGGCCCAGACUCCUACGGGAGGCAGCAGUGGGGAAUAUUGCGCAAUGGGCGAAAGCCUGACGCAGCGACGCCGCGUGAGGGAUGACGGCCUUCGGGUUGUAAACCUCUUUCAGCAGGGACGAAUUCAGACGGUACCUGCAGAAGAAGCACCGGCCAACUACGUG
rnacentral:rRNA from 1 species